rnacentral:misc_RNA from 1 species
CAAUGAAAAUACACUAACAGUAGAGCUUCUGCUCCGAAUUUCCUUCAAAACCCGCAAUGCUGAAAUGGUGCUCUUCAUAUAUGAACUCUCCAUAAGUUCAAUCUCUGCAAGUUCUUUGCGCACUCUGAGAGGGGGUGGUAGCCGAAGUUGAAGGAUCACAUCCUUCGUCCCCAUCAACUGCUUCAACCAAUGAUGGUGAUUCAUAUAUGGGGAAAAGGCGAUCAAGCAUUG